UUGGUAGAAGGUUGGAGGUAGAUCAACGGGUCGGGGACUUACAAAGGUCCCAUGGCGGCAAACGUAGCCUUCUUUAUUUCAUCAGGGGAUGGGUUAAAUCAGAGGGUUGAGUUGGUUUCAUCAUUCACAAAAGGUUCAAUAAGGAAAUAAUCUCCUGAAGAGCCUCAUUAUGAUCAGCUCUUCCAUGAAGGUAGAUUGACAAUGAGAGGUAAUUUCAUAAAAUAAUUCAGAGUUUGAAGAAGUCCAGCUACCUGAAGGAAGACGGACCUUUAAUAUUCUAUUUGAUUGGCGUGUUUGUAGAGUGUAUUAAUGUGUUGCAGACUUGCAGGUGAGAAAGCAGACUUCUGCAAGUCCUCUGUCACUACAAAACAAGGAGGAGAGAAUCCCUGGGAGUGGGAAUUCAUGUGACUCUCUUAAUGUAUAGACUAGACUCUUAAAACCGCAAACCCUAAUUUUCAUCUCAAACUUUACUUUUGUAAUGCUUCUUCUCUCGCUCAGCCGCACCACCCAGGGUCUGCGCCCGAUCUUCUUUGUUCAGCAUCACAAUUAGCAGCCAUAUCCACAACGCUUGAACAGUGAUUGUAAUUUAUCGCAUUCGAGAUCGAUUUCUCCGAUCGCAGGACCCAAAGGCUUCUGCUCUCCUAGCAAUCGCAGAACCGAUCCUUCCCAACCCCAAAAUCCCGACUCUUUUACCGCUGAACUUGGUGUUUAGCUCCUUAUCCCCUUUGGUCACCCACUAUCCACUCUUCACGUAAGGAUCAUGCUGGCAAAUCCUUCUAUAUAUCCCUAGCACCAAAGCCAUGGCCGUGUCGGCGAGCACGCCAGGGUGUUAGUAACCCGGUCCCCUGCAACUCAUGUGUAAAAACCCCUCUCCCCAUCAGAGAUCGGCAUGCGUUGAUUUGUCCGACGGCAUUCCUAUUGUCCUUGAACUUGGAAGCGAUUCUCCCCAUUUCAUUUCAUCAAUAGAAGUUAGUUGACAAAUGCAAUACAAGCUCGAGAUGAGAUGGAAGAUAACUCUUUCCAAUGGGUUAAGAUGGAUGAAAGAAGAUAUGGAAAGCUAUACAAUGGGAACAGCGAUUUACCAGGAAAACCAUUUUCAAAUGGAAGCGGAAGAUCAACCCUUAAUAGUUCAAGUUCAAGUCAUGAGGAGCCCUAUUUAAUAAAGUUGAAGGGAAAGGGAAAGUAUAAACAAAGAGACUUGAGAGAUGGAGAUGAGGCCGUUAGUUUGGAAAGGCAUCUCUGGUUUAUUAGAGAAGUGAGCUAUGCAAUUCCAAAUUUGAGAAAAUUGCACAGUUUCAAUUUUCUACUACAGAUGACGAAAAAAAGUUUUCAAAUGGAGGUUGAGAACCUGGAAUUAAUAGUUCAAGUUCAAUUAAAUCUAAAUACAGGAAAUCAUACGUCAAUUGGAAGAGGAUUUGGUUUUCCAGUGGACAUCACUUCGAAUGAUACACCAACAUAAGUCAUGAAACCAUGGACAAAUACAUGGGUUCAGGGAUCCCCAAUUUUGGUUUUUGAUAAGAUCACUAAUUUGUGGGCAUAUAUAAGGCGUGAAGGAAAUGGUGUCAUUGUGAGUAAUGAUAAUGGUAGACCUUAUUCUUCUACUCCGGAACUAAAACGUGCAACAAGUGAAUUAAUGAAAGGGUUGGUGAAUAUACAUGCAUCAAAAUUGAUGAUUGAAAAUAUUGGACAUUUUGUUGUUACAACAAACUCUUUGGAAGUUCGGUUUAUUCGCCUUAUCAUAGGAAAAAAAUUUCGAAAUGGAGGUUCACAACCUGGAAUUAAUAGAUCGGGUUCAAGUCAAUCUAAAUACGGGAAAUCAUAUGCUGCUUAGAUUUGGUUUUCCAAUGGACGACAAUAGUCCUUUUAGCAUUCAUGCAUACCGUUCUGAGGAAUUCUACGCACAAACAUGGAGACGCUUCCUCAAUUAUCUUUAUUGUGUAGCUUCGAAUGAUACACCUGCAUAUGUCCUGAAACCAUGGACAUAUACAUCGGUUCAGGAACAACACAUUUUGGUUUUUGAUAGGGUCACUAAUUUGUGGGCAUACAUAAGGCGUGAAGGAAAUGGUGUCAUUGUGAGUAACAAUAAUAGUAGACCUCUCCUACUCCGAAACUAAAACGUGUAACAAGUGAAUUAAUGAAAGGGUUGGUGAAUAUACAUGCAUCAAAAUUGACGAUUGAAAAUAUUGGACAUUCUAUUGUUAUAAUAGACUCUUUGGAAGUUCGGUUUAUUCGCCUUAUCAUAGAAAAUACAAUAGAGGAGACGGGGGAUAUAGCAAGGCUCAUCCAAUUUAUUGCACAGUUACGUGCUUUUAUUCCAGAGUUGAACAACUUGUUCAGUUUUAACCGUAUGUUGCAAACAUCAUAAGAUUUUAUUGAAAAGAUUCUUAGAAAGUUACAGAUUUUAUAAAUGAUCUAGAUUCCUAGUGUAAUGCAAGAUUUAAUAAUAUGGGGGGAGAAUUUAUGCUGAAAGUUUCAGCUAAUUCUGGGUAUUGAAGUUAGGGUUUAAGAAGUGAAAUUAGGUCAUUGAUUUCAGAGUUCAGACUUAGUUUAUUCUAAUAUCAGCGGCUUUGUUAGGUAAUCAAAACAGAAUCACAUUUGAGUUAAUGGAGGUCUAAACAUCUUUAAUGGAGGUUAGUAUAUAAUGGGAAAAUUAGAAACAUAACAAGAUGUAGCCAUUAGAAUAGGAUUAGAUUUGAUUCAAAUUCUGUAUUAGAGUUAAUGAACAUGUGAUUCAAUUCUCAAGAUGACCAGAGGUCCGGAUGACUAGUUUUCUUAACAUAAAACAAAGACUCUUUUGUAUGAAUGUCUAGAAUCUAGGGUUCUAGUUGCAAAAAAUGUAAUAAUAAAGCUGACUUGUAAUGGAAUUGAUCUGAGAAUAAGAAUAAUAACCCAUUACCCAAUAGUAGUAGUAAACUAAGAACACAAGAUAGAUCCACCCUGGCUUCUCACUGCUAGGUAUCAACGGGAUCAGACACCACUCCCUCCUUGAUCACGUACAGAUCUUCAAUGUAAAAGUCCCGUUGCAGCAGCAACAACUUUGAGUUGUUAGUAGAAAUCCCUUAUUGUAAAGACCAUAGUCCCAUCCUGCGAUUAAGAUGAAUAUAGCUUAGGUUUUUUUAGAAGUUCUAUGUGGAUUUAGUUCUGUUUAUAUAUAUAUUUAUUUUACUAUGAUUAUUGAUGUUGUUGGUGGUUAACUUGUUAUUUACUUAUUUGUUUUAAUAAUUUAAUAUUUUAAUUAAUUUGUGAUGUUGUGAAAUCUGAAUUCUGAUUGCAUUUUUAUAACUACAUUUACUUUGAUGACAGGAAAAAAGUUUGUCAAAUGGAAAUUAUAUGCCAAUCGGAAGAGGAGUUGGUCUCUCCAUGGAUAUCAUACUCCUUUUACCAUUCACUGAGGGAAUUAAUGAACGGGUUGGUAGAUAUACAUGGAUAAAAAAUGACGAUGAUGAGUAUUGGACAAUCUGUUGUUAUAACGGGCUCUUUUUUUUUUUUGGUCCUGGGGUAGAGAAAAUUACCUGGAAGUCAUAUUGGUGGAAGAUAUGGCUUCCAAUGCUACUGUAUGUCAAGCUCCCAUGGCGGUCUACUUCUGAUGGAGUCUUCUGAGGGAAUAAUCCUCUAGACUAUCCACUACCUGUGGCCAUUCUACAGAUUUGCCUUCUUGUCUUUCUCACACACACUAUUGCUUAUUUCCUCAGACCACUCAGGCAACCUCAUGUCAUUGCCAAGAUACUUGUUAAGUUUAUUUAUUUAUUUUUGAACAAGACAGAAAUUAUUAUUCAAGUAAAUCAAGAGAGGAAACUAUUGCUCAA